AGCGAACGCUGGCGGCGUGCCUAACACAUGCAAGUCGAGCGAAGGCAUGAGUGUAGCAAUACACUUAUGUACUUAGCGGCGGACGGGUGAGUAACACGUGGAUAAUCUGCCCUGAGGACCGGGACAACUCUUGGAAACGGGAGCUAAUACCGGAUGUGACCACGAUGCUUGAGGGCAUUGGGGUAAAAGGGCGGCCUGCAAGGGCUGUUGCUUCGGGAUGAGUUCACGACCCAUCAGGUAGUUGGGGG
rnacentral:rRNA from 1 species